UACGUAGGGUCCGAGCGUUGUUCGGAUUCAUUGGGCGUAAAGGGUGUGUAGGUGGCGCCGUAAGUCGGGUGUGAAAUUUCGGAGCUUAACUCCGAAACUGCAUUCGAUACUGCGGUGCUUGAGGACUGGAGAGGAGACUGGAAUUCAUGGUGUAGCAGUGAAAUGCGUAGAGAUCAUGAGGAAGACCAGUGGCGAAGGCGGGUCUCUGGACAGUUCCUGACACUGAGACACGAAGGCCAGGGGAGCAAACGGG
rnacentral:rRNA from 1 species